rnacentral:rRNA from 1 species
AUUGAACGCUGGCGGCAGGCCUAACACAUGCAAGUCGAGCGAGCGGCGGACGGGUGAGUAAUGUCUGGGAAACUGCCUGAUGGAGGGGGAUAACUACUGGAAACGGUAGCUAAUACCGCAUACCAUCAGAUGUGCCCAGAUGGGAUUAGCUAGUGGGUGGGGUAACGGCUCACCUAGGCGACGAUCCCUAGCUGGUCUGACAGGCUGACCAGCAAACGUGGAGCGAGGACACUGUCAAGCCUCCAACGGGAGGAACAGGAGGGGAAUAUUGCACAAUGGGCGCAAGCCUGAUGAGCACAUGCCGCGUGGGUGAUGAGGGCCUGCGGGUUGUAAAGCACGUUCGUCGUGGAGACGUUAACCGCCGAAGAAGCACCGGCUAACUCCGUGCCAGCAGCCGCGGUAAUUC